UACAGAGGUCUCAACCGUUGUUCGGAUUCAUUGGGCGUAAAGGGUGCGUAGGUGGCGCGAUAAGUCGGGUGUGAAAUCUCGGAGCUUAACUCCGAAAUUGCAUUCGAUACUGCCGUGCUCGAGGACUGGAGAGGAGACUGGAAUUCAUGGUGUAGCAGUGAAAUGCGUAGAGAUCAUGAGGAAGACCAGUGGCGAAGGCGGGUCUCUGGACAGUUCCUGACACUGAGGCACGAAGGCCAGGGGAGCAAACGGGG
rnacentral:rRNA from 1 species